GACAGAGGGUGCGACCGUUGUUCGGAAUUACUGGGCGUAAAGCGCGUGUAGGCGGCAAUGCAAGUCGGGCGUGAAAUCCCACGGCUCAACCGUGGAAGUGCACUCGAAACUGCAUAGCUAGAGUCCUGGAGAGGAAGGUGGAAUGCUUGGUGUAGAGGUGAAAUUCGUAGAUAUCAAGCGGAACACCGGUGGCGAAGGCGGCUUCUUGGGCCGUUCCUGACGCUGAGGCGCGAAAGCCAGGGGAGCGAACGGG
rnacentral:rRNA from 1 species